GUGUUGUAAUGUGGCAUUAACCAACCAUUCAAGCACUUAAAGAUGACAAAAUAUAGAUCUUCAAAAAUCGACUAAUCCGAGGGGACCAAUCCCACCGCCCAUUUGCGGGGGCCCCGUUUAAAGCCAGAGCAAGCUCUGUAUGGACUUAGCCCACCGAAAUUGGCACCAGAGGGAAUCGAACCUGAGACCUUUGGAGGAGCAAACUCCAAGAUCCCAAGCCAACCACUAGGCCAACCCCAAAUGGCUCAAAGUUGAUAAGGUUAAGCUAAUUGAAGUAUUUGGUACAUAUCAAUCUGAAUUUUCAAGUGUAAUUGUUGUGUAUGUACAAUGAAUCUCCAAUGUGCAAUUUCUUUAUUAUGGUUGUGAGUGCUAUGUAUUAACGAAAUGUGAAUGAUGUAAUUUUGCUUUUAUGAUGAAAGAUUUAAUUUCCAUACUUGUAAUUGGAAUCUGAGUUGUAUUUUGUUGUUAGGUUCUUUUAUAAUGAAUGACUCAUAUAGUAUUUUUUUAU
rnacentral:lncRNA from 1 species